UUUCUUCUUCAGUAUAGAACAAUAAUAGUUUAGUAACUAUUUUAUUUUUUAUUUGAGUUUAUAUCUGAUCAGCUCCAUUCAUCACUAUUCAUUAAGGGCUCCCUCAAAGGGCUCGGCCUCAGGGCGCUGCAGUUCCUCGUUAAGCCGCUAGGUGGAAGAGCUUAGCUGCAGCUGCAGCCACUCACUGCUCGUUAGCAACAGCGUUCCGGGACAACAGGUUGAGCUCAGCGUUUUUCGACGUUUUCCGUUCAUAUGUGUAAAUUUAAACGUUUAGGCCUAACGCGUCUCGUUCAGGAAGGAGAAUGAAGAGUUUAACUCCACUACCCGGCCAACACCACUUUCUACAGAGCGGCGCUCAGUCUGUAGGGCUUUUUACAAGAUCUUGGCGUGCCUCUGUAGGGACUUUUUGCCCAUUCACUCAGAGGAACAUCUGCAAGGCAGCCAGACAGAGAGCAAAGAAAAUCUGUUUUUUUUAUUUUUUUUUUUAUCAAUGACUGUUGAGCUCUCCGGAGAGAAGUAGAUCUCUCCAAACAUCUGGGCCUCAGGUCUUAUGCAGAGAAUGGGAAUAAGCCUGUAAACCUCUCACCUCUGGGGCUCAUCAGCGUGGCCUCCACAGCCUUGCCCCCAUCGCCACAGCGGGCCUCGUCAAAGGGCACACACUGCUCUCCCGUUCCAGCCACCACC